AUUGCUUUUUUGCCUCCUGGGAGUGAAGAUCAAAGUAUUGUGUGUGUUCUGAUCAGUGUAAUCUGUGAUAUGUCUUUGAUGUGAAAACUGUAUAUUAACUUGAUUUUUGAAAUGAAGGGGUUAGUCAGAACAAGAGUUUGUUUUAUCUACCCUAUGCAUUGACCUGGUAUUGCAGUGCUUCCAGGAAGAGUGUAUCUCCU